CGCUCGACAAACUAUAGCGAGGACGGAGAUAUUCUCUUGGUUCGUGCUUGGGCACAUGUGGGUUUGGAUGCAAGCACCGGUACCGAUCAAACUGGUAAACGCUAUUGGCAACGCAUAGAGGACUUCUAUUGCAAGAUCAAGCCGAAGACCAGUGGGUACAUCCCUCGUAGUUACCGGUCGCUUCAAGGCCGGUGGGAGUUGAUGAAGCCCCAUUGUGCUCGCUGGAGUGCGGCGAUGGACCAAGUGAAGGAUGCACCGCCUAGUGGAACCGUGGAGAGUGACUAUGAGGCAAUUGCUGACUUGAGGUACAAGGAGAUGGCCGCUUCGAAGGGCAAAGCAUUCCCAUUUAAACAUGUUUGGAAAAUUCUUCAAACUUAUGACAAGUGGAAGUUGAGGGAUCAAGAGACCGCACCCAAGAAGUCAGCAAUUCUUAGGAUGGAUGAUAGUGAAGAGGAGGGAAGGAACGAGCACAAGCCCGCUGGAAACAAGAAGGAUAAGCUAAGGAAGAAGAUGGAAGGAGAGGCGUCAAGCAUAAGGGAGAAGAUAGAACAUAUGAUGAAGUCAAGGGAGGCAUUGACAACGAAGACAUUGGAGACAAAACUUCUUAUCAACGAGAAGAAGAAAAAGGUGAAGCUUGCACAAGUUGAAGCAAGGCGUGAAGAUGCCAAGCGCAAGGCCGACUUGGAGGAGAUGAUGAUCAAGGUCAAAGAAGCAAAGGCAUGGAAAGAACUCAUGAUGGAAGAGAAGGAGCACAUGAUGAUGUCCAAGAAGGACAUGGAUGAAGACCAAUUGAUGUGGUGGAAGGAGUACAAGCAGGACAUCGCGGAGAGGAAGAGGAUAUUCCGUGGUGCAUCCUCUACUCUUCGAGGUGACACUCCGAUGAGUGGUGGUGGCGAUGGCGGUGGGGAGAACUCCACCACCGGCGAAAAUGGAGGUGCUUGA
rnacentral:rRNA from 1 species